rnacentral:tRNA from 1 species
AUGGGUAAAGCUUUAAUAUUGAAGCGUUGGCUUUUUAAUCCAGAGAAAUCUUUGUGGAUUGCCCUUA